AAGGCUAAAUACUACUUAGUGACCGAUAGCGCAUAGUACUGUGAAGGAAAGGUGAAAAGGACCCCGGGAGGGGAGUGAAAGAGAACCUGAAACCCUAUGUUUACAAGCUGUGGAACACCGCAAGGUGAACCGCGUACUUUUUGUAGAACGGUCCGGCGAGUUGCAUGUACUGGCAAGGUUAAGCACUAAAGGUGCGAAGCCGAAGAGAGAUCAAGUCUUAAUAGGGCGAAGAAGUCAGUGAAUGCAGACCCGAAACCGGGUGAUCUAUCCAUGUCCAGGUUGAAGUCAACGUAAAAGUUUAUGGAGGACCGAACCCACAUCCGUUGAAAAGGGUGGGGAUGAGGUGUGGAUAGGGGAGAAAUUCCAAUCGAACCCGGAGAUAGCUGGUUCUCCUCGAAAUAGUUUUAGGACUAGCCUUAAUUUAGUCUGAUGGAGGUAGAGCACUGAAUUUUUGCGGGGGCGUCAAAGCUUACCAAUGAAUAUCAAACUGCGAAUGCCAUACAGAUGAUGAUUAGGAGUCAGACUACACGAGAUAAGUUGGGUAGUCGAAAGGGAAAGAGCCCAGAUCUACGGCUAAGGUCCCAAAGUGAGUGUUAAGUGGAAAAGGAUGUAGGAUCUCAUAGACAACUAGGAUGUUGGCUUAGAAGCAGCCAUACAUUAAAAGAGUGCGUAAUAGCUCACUAGUCGAGAGGUUCUGCGCCGAAAAUGUCCGGGGCUAAAACACUACACCGAAGCCAAGGGAUGACGAAAGUCAUCGGUAGAGGAGCAAUCUUACCGACGCAGAAGCCAUACCGAAAGGAGUGGUGGAGAAGUAAGAAGAGAGAAUGCCGGAAUGAGUAGCGAGAGUGAGGUGAGAAUCCUCACGGCCAAAUACCCAAGGAUUCCAGAGUAAAGCUGAUCUGCUCUGGGUAAGUCGGGACCUAAGGCGAGGGAGAGAUCCGUAGUCGAUGGACAUCAGGUAUAGAAUCCUGAACUGCAUAUAAUCAGAAAUGUGGGGACACAGAAACUAAAGUCGAACCCGGGAGAGCAAAGACCGGGAUAAGCGAGGUAGCAGGUGGUAGGAAAAACCGCCACGAAAUGCGAAUGCGUGAUAUGUAGCGAAGAAAAGUAGCGAAGUCGAAUAGGGAGCUGUCAAGAAAAGCCGCUAUAGCGUUAUAUGUACCCGUACCGAAAACCGACACAGGUGGGAGGGGAGAGAAUCCUAAGGCCGGCGGGAGAAGCAUUGUUAAGGAACUCGGCAAAAUGACCCCGUAACUUCGGGAGAAGGGGUACCGAAAGGUCACAGAAAAAAGGCUCAAGCAACUGUUUAGCAAAAACACAGGUCUAUGCGAAACCGAAAGGUGAAGUAUAUGGGCUGACGCCUGCCCGGUGCUGGAAGGUUAAGAGGAGAGGUCAGGCAACGAAGCUUUGAAUCUAAGCCCCAGUAAACGGCGGCCGUAACUAUAACGGUCCUAAGGUAGCGAAAUUCCUUGUCGGGUAAGUUCCGACCCGCACGAAAGGCGUAAUGAUUUGAGCACUGUCUCAACAAUGCACCCGGUGAAAUUGAAGUACCAGUGAAGAUGCUGGUUACCUGCGCCAGGACGGAAAGACCCCAUGGAGCUUUACUCUAGUUUGAUACUGGGGUUUGAUGAUGCAUGUACAGGAUAGGUGGGAGACUGCGAGGCGAGGACGCCAGUUUUCGCGGAGUCACUGUUGGGAUACCACCCUUGUAUCAUUGAAUUUCUAACCCGUGGCCGUAAGCCGGUCAGGGGACAAUGUCAGAUGGGGAGUUUGACUGGGGCGGUCGCCUCCGAAAGAGUAUCGGAGGCGCUCAAAGGUUCCCUCAGAAUGGACGGAAACCAUUCAAAGAGUGCAAAGGCAAAAGGGAGCUUGACUGCGACACUGACGGGUGGAGCAGGUACGAAAGUAGGACUUAGUGAUCCGGUGGUUUUAAGUGGGAAAGCCAUCGCUCAACGGAUAAAAGCUACCCUGGGGAUAACAGGCUUAUCACUCCCAAGAGUUCACAUCGACGGAGUGGUUUGGCACCUCGAUGUCGGCUCAUCGCAUCCUGGGGCUGAAGUCGGUCCCAAGGGUUGGGCUGUUCGCCCAUUAAAGCGGUACGCGAGCUGGGUU
rnacentral:rRNA from 1 species